rnacentral:misc_RNA from 1 species
GCAAACUUGGUCAUUUAGAGGAAGUAAAAGUCGUAACAAGGUUUCCGUAGGUGAACCUGCGGAAGGAUCAUUAUUGAUUUCAGAUCGUCAUGUUUUGUGCUGGCCGGCUUUGGCAUGUGCACAUUCAUGACUUUCAUCCAACCCCUCUUGUGAACCUUUGACCUUGUGCUUUGCUUUGGCAGGCAGAAGGAUUUAUUUACACACACUGUAAUGGAAUGAAAGUAUCUUGCUGUGUGCUCACAAGCACAAAUGUACAACUUUCAACAACGGAUCUCUUGGCUCUCGCAUCGAUGAAGAACGCAGC